CUAUCAGAAUCAGACAUUUAUUUCAAGCAAGUAUGAAGCAGAUUACCUUCAUUUUCCUCUAUGUGCUGUUCUGGUUCACAUACGUUUCUCUUGGUUCAUCCAUUGAUCAACCUCCUGACAUGAUAAAGCGUUUGGGAGACACUGUGAACAUCAGCUGCACUCACACUUACAGCAGCUAUUAUUAUCUUUACUGGUACCAACAAACAGCACAAGGAGAAUCCUUCAAACUUCUUGGGCACCUUUACAUGACAACAUUCAAUCCUGAGAAAGACUAUGGUCGCUUUCAUAUUUAUGGGAAAUCACAAACCCAUGGAACACUUCAGAUCUCCAGUGUUACUUCAGAAGACAGUGCAGUGUAUUUCUGUGCUGUGAGUGACACAGUUUGACAAAAAUCUGCUGUGCACAACAAAAACACCUGUCCUGCUCAUAAAGGAUCGUAGUAGUUCAUAGUAAAAGGAUCAUAGUAGAAGAUAUUUAUCAGUAUUGGUUUAAAGUAGCUAAUCAUCAUAUUUAUGUAUUUAUUUAUCUAUUUUAUAUUAUUGAACUUUAGUAAUAUAGGAACAAUACAAUCCAGAAAUCCAGAAAGCUGAAAAGCCAUUGUGUACCUCCAAGUAUUUAAACAAUUUCGCACAUAAUCAUGUUUACACUUUAGUAAACUUUGUAUAAAUUGAAACAGACUUGAUCGUAUAUUAAAUUUAAUACAAGUAACCAUGGUAAUUGGAAGUUAUGUCAUCCUUGCUUUACUUUGAAAUAAGUAAUUUUUG